AAAUCAUUUUUUACUCCCCA
rnacentral:miRNA from 1 species